UAUUAAAAUAAUUUUAUAAGUAAGUUAAAAUGUAUUAAAGUAUAAAAAAAGGUAAAAACCAUUUUAUUUCAUCUUUUCCCUUCCAUCUCCACCGAGUCUCCAUGGAUGAAAUACCAAGCUUUUGUCUAAGCUUAUUCUUUAAAAUUGGUCGGGAUUUGAGACAACUAGAAGAUAAACACAAAAAAAGGAAAAAAAUUACUUAAAAGUCCUUGGUGUCGUAUUCGUUGUCGAUCUUGAUUAAGUAAGUUUUGUAUGAGAUUUAAAUUCUUAUUGAUUGCUUAUUUAGUCACUUGAUAGUUUAAUUGUUGUAACAUAAUAAUUGUUAGCAUCGAAAGAACUAUAAUGCAAAGUACAAUAUAUGUGGCUAAUACGAAUAGUUAUAUGAUAUAGAAUGGUUAUGAAAUAUUAAUCUGUUUAAGUUACAAAUAUAUGGUUAUUUGUUAUGUGAACGAAAAUGAAUAAGUGGAUGGUCAUUUGAUAUGUGUAUGAAAAUGUUCAAAGGAAUGGAAAAGAUUGAAUACGUGAUACAGGGCCCAUGUGAAAUUAGUGAAUAGCUAGGAUACAAAUGACAUGUCAUUAGGGUCUUUUAUAGUAGGUAUUAUGUAAUGGUGGUGGAUACCUCACCGAUGGCUAAGAUCCUGCAUAUAUUAUGGAUUCUUCACAGCUCGUGUGGGUAACAUCGUGUAAUAGUUAAUGUCUCGAUUUACUGGAUACCUUACUGAUGGCUAAGAUCCUGCAUAUAUUACGGAUUCUUCACAGCUCGUGUGAGCAACAUCGUGUAAUGGUUAAUGUCCCGAUUUUCUGGAUACCUUACUGAUGGUUAAGAUUCUGCAUUUGUUGCAGAUUCUUCAAAGCUCGUGUGAGGAGCAUUGUGUAAUGGUUAAUGUCUGAUUCACAGCUCAUGUGAGCACUAUUAUCCUAUGGAUCUAAGGUUAUUUUGCAGAAUGCAUCGGUCGGAUCAACUUGGAGCUCGCACUAUCAAAUUUUUAAUUCAAUAAUCUUUAUUUAUUCUAAAUUUGAUUAUGUGACAUGUAUAUAGGGUUGUAUUUGUGUUUAAGUUAUUUUGGAUGUUCAUGAUCUUGGUCUAAUGAUGUUGAAUGAUUUGGUAUUAUGAUGAGAAAUGAAGUGGCAAGUGAGUAGCCUACUUGAAA